CGCCGUCCUGCGUCAGGCGGAGGAUGCGGGAGCGCUUGUCGCCCGGGUCGGGCGAGCGCUCGAUCCAGCCGCGUUCGGCGACGUGGGUGACGU
rnacentral:tRNA from 2 species